CGGCAAAAUGUACGAGAAUUUACCAAGGCUACCCCGGUUUUUUAAAUAUAAUAAUGUGAAUUAAAUUGCUUCAAAAUUCAUUGAGUUCAAUAUGAAUUGAUAUAUAGAAUGAAAAAAUGAAAUUGCACUACACCGCGUCGUGUGAUGUUGCGAGUAGAUCUACGAUGAAAGAGGAAAAUAGCAGAUAGCUACAUGUGCAUGUGUUAUAUAAAUCCUCCCCCUCAUACAAAAUGCAAUUUUNGUNUUNUAUUUNCNNNNNCCCUCCUACAGGACGCCAGCAGUGAGGAAUUUUCCGCAAAUGGGGAACCCCUGAGGCAAAUAACGCCGCGUGAAAGAAGAAGGCCCUAGGGUCGUAAAGCUCUGUCAACCGGGAAGAAGUUUGGGAGUAAUUAACCCGUGUCUAUAUUGACGGUACCCUUAGAGGAAGCACCGGCUAACUCUGUGCCAGCACCCGCGGUAAUAUAGAGGGCGCGAGCGUUAUUUGGAAUUAUUGCGCGUAAAGAGCGCGUAGGCGGUCUUGUCUGUCAGUUGUGAAAUCCCGCGGCUCAACCCUGGAAGUGCAUUUCAAACAUGCCUGAGCUUUAGUGUAUGAGAGGAAAGUGGAAUUCCUGGUGUAGAGGUGAAAUUCGUAGAUAUCUGGAGGAACACCCAUGGCGAAGGCAGCUUUCUGGCCCGAUACUGACUCUGAGACGCGAAAGCGUGGGGAGCGAACAGGAUUAGAUACCCCUGGUAGUCCACCCUCAAAAGAUGUGAAGUAGGUGUAGCGGGAAUAAUGGCAAUUAGUGGCGAUGGUACGCACUAGUGUACUGCCGGAUUCGCACGAGCUAAA
rnacentral:rRNA from 1 species